CCCCUGGCAAGUCCUCGUGUUGCAUCCCU
rnacentral:rRNA from 1 species